rnacentral:rRNA from 1 species
AUUGAACGCUGGCGGCAGGCCUAACACAUGCAAGUCGAGCGGAGCGGCGGACGGGCGAGUAAUGCCUAGGAAUCUGCCUGGCCGUGGGGGAUAACGUCCGGAAACGGGCGCUAAUACCGCACACUAUCAGAUGAGCCUAGGUCGGAUUAGCUAGUUGGUGGGGUAAAGGCCAACCAAGGCGACGAUCCGUAACUGGUCUGAGAGGAUGAUCAGUCACCUGGGAACUGAGAAACGGCCCAGACUCCUACGGGAGGCAGCAGUGGGGAAUAUUGGAAAAUGGGCGAAAGCCUGAUCCAGCCAUGCCGCGUGUGUGAAGAAGGUCUUCGGGUUGUAAAGCACUUUAAGUUGGGAGGCGUUACCUACAGAAGAAGCACCGGCUAACUUCGUGCCAGCAGCCGCGGUAAUAC